rnacentral:rRNA from 1 species
GACGAACGCUGGCGGCGUGCCUAAUACAUGCAAGUCGAACGCACUCUCGUUUAGAUUGAAGGAGCUUGCUCCUGAUUGAUAAACAUUUGAGUGAGUGGCGGACGGGUGAGUAACACGUGGGUAACCUGCCCUAAAGCGGGGGAUAACAUUUGGAAACAGAUGCUAAUACCGCAUAAAACCUAACACCGCAUGGUGUAGGGUUGAAAGAUGGUUUCGGCUAUCACUUUAGGAUGGACCCGCGGUGCAUUAGUUAGUUGGUGAGGUAAAGGCUCACCAAGACCGUGAUGCAUAGCCGACCUGAGAGGGUAAUCGGCCACACUGGGACUGAGACACGGCCCAGACUCCUACGGGAGGCAGCAGUAGGGAAUCUUCCACAAUGGACGAAAGUCUGAUGGAGCAACGCCGCGUGAGUGAAGAAGGUUUUCGGAUCGUAAAACUCUGUUGUUGGAGAAGAAUGUAUCUGAUAGUAACUGAUCAGGUAGUGACGGUAUCC